GACUCGCCGCGCAGUCGGCUCACAGCGUGCUCGACGUGAAACAGCUGGGAUGCCCGCACACACCGCGCCGUUGAUGAACUACGUACGGUUUGUCUAUGGAGUGCUGCAGUAGAUGUGAGCUGCGUUGAAAAGCGUACCAAACCGAUAACCGCAUUGCACGCAGCAUGCUCAAUUGGCCACACUGUGUCCGUGACGGCGAUGUUAAUACCCGCAUUUGCUGCCCUCCUUGAGUACGGGGAACCUUUUGGGAUUGUUAAACCGGACAAACUCUCACGAAAAAUGCUCUGAGGCUGAGAUUCAUUGAAAUUCUCGAUUCGAAGACUUCAUUCCUGUGGAGAUACAGAACUUCAAGCCUAUGGAUUGUCAAAAAGAAAAGACAGAAUCCAUGUAGUACAAGGAGCUUCGAUCGAUCUUGAAGAGCUGCAAUAUACCCGUAUGCUAUUGGGAUGUGAGAUCCUUGCUCGCCUCCGGUAGAAAAGUCCUUCGGCUAGCCUGAUUGGAAAACUGGUCGUCAUCCGUCCCUGGAAUUUGGAGAGAACAGCCCUGGACUUUUGUUGGUACUGCGAGUGGUGGAUGGAAUGAGGAUGAAAUUACGAGGAAUGCAUACAGAGCGGGCUGUUGCAACCAGAACCAUGGGACAUACGUCGGCAGCCUGCCCCGGGAAAAUGCGCCGAUUGACAUCAACCGUGGCUUUUUGUCUCCUGAACUGUUUAAUUCCAGUGGCCUUUUCUCAAGGUAAGUUCAGUAACAAGAUCAUAAAAUGGCAAUAUUCUUCUCAUUUUCUCCCACCCAGUAAGCAGGCAUAAUCACAUUUUCGUUCAGCUAUAGCCAGGCUCAGCUGACUAGUUGGUUGAAAUGGUUCGGCGCGUGUUGGGAUUGUUCUUCCCCGAGGGCAAACAAACUCGGUUUGACGCAGUUCGAGUUUUGAUAUCGUCAUGGAAAAAAAUUGCUUCGGAAUCCGAAAGGAUGAAAGCUUAUUCAACGAGAAAAACAGCUGAUCGCCGGGAGUGGAUGAAGGAAG